UACGUAGGGUGCAAGCGUUGUCCGGAAUUAUUGGGCGUAAAGAGCUCGUAGGCGGUUUGUUGCGUCGGCUGUGAAAUCCCGAGGCUCAACCUCGGGUCUGCAGUCGAUACGAGCAAACUAGAGUGUUGCAGGGGAGACUGGAAUUCCUGGUGUAGCGGUGAAAUGCGCAGAUAUCAGGAGGAACACCGAUGGCGAGGGCAGGUCUCUGGGCCACUACUGACGCUGAGAAGCGAAAGCAUGGGGAGCGAACAGG
rnacentral:rRNA from 1 species